UUGAAUACGCUUGAGUGCUGAUGCUGGCCUUUCGGGGCAUGUGCUCGCAUUCAAACUAUUUAUCUUCUCUUGUGCACCUUUUGUAGUCUUUGAAUGUCACCUUCCGCUGCAAACGCGGGUUUUGGAGAGGGGCUUUCCCCUCUCUGGGCUUCAAAGACUAUGUCUUCAUAUACGUUAAACAGUUUAGAAUGUCUUUUUAACGGCCUAACAGCCAUUAAACCUAAUA
rnacentral:misc_RNA from 1 species